UGGAUCCAGACUUUGAUUAUGGCUCAGGACGAACGCUGGCGGCGUGCUUAACACAUGCAAGUCGAACGGAGAACUUAUUUCGGUAAGUUCUUAGUGGCGAACGGGUGAGUAACGCGUGGGCAACCUGCCCUCCAGUUGGGGACAACAUUCCGAAAGGGAUGCUAAUACCGAAUGUGCUCCCUCCUCCGCAUGGAGGAGGGAGGAAAGAUGGCCUCUGCUUGCAAGCUAUCGCUGGAAGAUGGGCCCGCGUCUGAUUAGCUAGUUGGUGGGGUAACGGCUCACCAAGGCGAUGAUCAGUAGCCGGUCUGAGAGGAUGAACGGCCACAUUGGGACUGAGACACGGCCCAAACUCCUACGGGAGGCAGCAGUGGGGAAUCUUCCGCAAUGGACGAAAGUCUGACGGAGCAACGCCGCGUGAGUGAUGAAGGUCUUCGGAUUGUAAAACUCUGUUGUUAGGGACGAAAGCACCGUGUUCGAACAGGUCAUGGUGUUGACGGUACCUAACGAGGAAGCCACGGCUAACUACGUGCCAGCAGCCGCGGUAAUACGUAGGUGGCAAGCGUUGUCCGGAAUUAUUGGGCGUAAAGAGCAUGUAGGCGGGCUUUUAAGUCUGACGUGAAAAUGCGGGGCUUAACCCCGUAUGGCGUUGGAUACUGGAAGUCUUGAGUGCAGGAGAGGAAAGGGGAAUUCCCAGUGUAGCGGUGAAAUGCGUAGAUAUUGGGAGGAACACCAGUGGCGAAGGCGCCUUUCUGGACUGUGUCUGACGCUGAGAUGCGAAAGCCAGGGUAGCAAACGGGAUUAGAUACCCCGGUAGUCCUGGCCGUAAACGAUGGAUACUAGGUGUAGGAGGUAUCGACCCCUUCUGUGCCGGAGUUAACGCAAUAAGUAUCCCGCCUGGGGACUACGAUCGCAAGAUUGCAACUCAAAUGAAUUGACGGA
rnacentral:rRNA from 2 species